UCACAGGAGGAGGACGGGCCGUGACCAGCAGAGAAGGUGAAGGAGCUGAGACAUGGAGGACAACCCAGCACCAACUGGCAGGUUAACCCAGAAGAGCAGAGGAAACAGCGCCACUGGGCUGCACCUGGCAGGGCUGGGUCAGCGGGACGAGGGCAGGACGGUGAUGCCAGGAGAGGCCCCGUCAGAGCUCUGAGCCCCUGCACUGCUCCCGGGGGGACCCU